CGGCCGACUUCGGCUCAGGUCAUGAUCUUGCGGUCCGUGGGUUUGAGCCCCACGUCGGGCUCUGUGCUGACAGCUCAGAGCCUGGAGCCUGUUUCAGAUUCUGUGUCUCCCUCUUUCUCUGACCCUCCCCUGUUCAUGCGCUCUCUCUGUCUCAAAAAUAAAUAAAUGUUAAGAAAAAAAAAGACAGAAAUGGUUACUAGAGACAAAGUAACUUUUUAGAAUGUAAAACAAUCCAUCAGGAAGACAUAAACAUUAUAAACAUAUAUGAACCUAACAGAGCUCCACAAAACAUGAAGCAAAAACUAACAAAACUGAAGAAAUGGACAGUGCAACAAUAAGUUUGUAGAAUUCAAUACCCCGUGUUCAAUGAUGGUUAGAACCACUAGGCAGAUGAUCAACAAAAAAGUACAAGACUUGAAUAACACUAUAAGCCAAAUAGACCUAGCAGACAUCUAUAGAAUUUUCCACCCCCACAAGAGCAGAAUAAACAUUAAUUUCAAGCACACAUGGAAUAUCCUCGAACAGAGACCAUAUGUUAUGCUGAAAAACAAAUUUCAGUACAUGAAAAAAGAGAAAUCCUACCCAGUGUCUUCAAUGACAGUGGAAUGAAGCCAGAAAUCACUAUCAAAAGCAACACUGGGAGUCUAAUUUGUGGAAAUUAAACAACUUCUGUAAGUCAAAGAAGAACUCAUAAAGGAAAUUAGAAAAUACUUUGAAAUGAGUGAAAAUGAAAACAUAGAUACAAAAACUUAAAUGUUGCAGCUAAAACGUGCUUAUAGGAGAGAUGGAGAGCUAUCUACAUUAAGGAAGACCUCAAAUUAAUAACCACACCUUCCUCAUUAAGAAAUCGGAAAAAUAAGCUAUCCCCAAACCAAGCAGAAGAAAUAAUUAUAGAGCAGAAAUAAGAGAAAAAAGGGGGGAAAAAUCAAUGAAAAGUUAGUUCUUUGAAAAUACUAAUGAAAUUGAAAAAUCUGUAGACUAGCAGAAUGGGGAGGUGGGGAGAAGACACCACAUACUAAAAUUAGGAACAAAACUUACCAACUAACCUCACAGCAGCAAACGGGAAUACUAUGAAUAAUUUGUAUGGCAACAAAUCAGAUAAGCUGAUAGAUGCACAAAUUCUAAAAAAGAAAAAUUUCAACACUGACUCAAGAAGAAACAAAAUCUGAAUAGACAUUAAGAAGUAAAGAAAUAGGAUAAUUUUGGUGUGCCUGGCUGGCUCAGUUGGUUAAGCAUCCGACUUCGGCUCAGGUCAUUAUCUCAUGGUUUGUGAUUUCAAGUCCUGCAUCGGGCUCUAUGCUGACAGCUCAGAGCCUGGAGCCUGCUUCGGAUUCUGUGUCUCUCUCUCUCUGCCCUCCCCUGUUUGCACUCUGUCUCUCUUUCUCUCUCUCUCAAAAAUAAACAUUAAAAAAAAAUUUUUUUUAACAAUUUAAAAACUUCCCACAAACAAAAAGCCAGACCAAAUGGCUACACUGACAAAUUUUUCCCCAAAUUUAAAGAAUAAUUAUCACUAAUCCUUCAGAAAUUCUUGCAAAAAAUAGAUGAGUGAACAUCUCACUCCACUGUAUGAGUCAAAUAUUCCCAGACAACAAAAUCAGAAACCCAACUAUACACCCGAGAACAGAUGCAAAAAUCUUCUACCAAUAUACUGGCAAAGCAAAUCCCACAACAUAUAAAAAGGAUUAUACACCACGACCAAGUUGGAUUUAUCCCAGGAAUGCAAGGUUGGUUUAACACCCAAAAAUCAAUGUACCGUAUCAAUGAAGGUGGUGGGGGGCACAUUAUCCUUCAAAAGAUGCAGAAAAAAGCAUUUGACAAAAUUCAACACCCUAUCAUAAAAGAAAUACACAACAAGUUAGAAAUAGAAGGGGAAUUCCUCAACCAGGUAAAGGUCAUCUACGGAAAACUUACAACUAAUACCAUAUCCAACAGUGAAGGACUGAAUGCUUUUGCCCAAAUCAGGAAAGACAAGGAAGUCUGCCCUCACCACUUCUAGCCAACACUGGAGGCUCUACCCAGGGCAAUUAGGCAAGAAAAAAAGAAAAAACAAAGAAGCUAUCAAGACUGGAAAGGACGAAGUACAAGUGUCUUUUUGCAAAUAACAUAACGAUCAAAUAUAAAAAUCCUAAGCAAUUCAGUGAAAAACUACUAGAAUUAAAUGAUUUCAAUACAGAUGCAGGAUGCAUUCAUUCACUGUUACUGGGAAUAGGCAGUGGUGCGGCUACUGAUGAAGACAGUCUGGCAAGUGUUCAAAAAGUUGAACAGUUCCUGUAUGACCCACAAUGACAUUCCUAAGAACCACGCAAGAGAAUUCACAAACACUUAUAUAUGAACGUUCACAGAAUUAUUUAGAAUUACCAAGAAAUCCAAACAACCGAAAUGUCCAUCACCUAAUGAACAGCUAAAUACGUGUAUAUCCAUACAAUGUCAUAUUGCAUUAAAAAAAUAAUGAAUACCUAGUAACACAUUCCGCUAGGUUAAAAAAAACCGAGUCACAAAAGACAUUAUAGGAUUCCAUUUAUAUGAAGGUCCUCAGGGACGGGACAGUGCAGUGACUGCUGUGAACAUGGAGUUUGUUUUACGGAUGAUGAAAAUGUUCUAAAAUUAGGUGGUAGUGAGGGUCACACAGCUUCCCAAUACUCUAAACACUACUGACUGGUACACCUGAAACAGGUGCAUGUUACAGUAAGUAAAUGAUACAACCAUCAUCACAGUCCCUGAAAGUAAUUUAAUCUCCCUAAAAAGAAACUCCCUACCUUUCAGCUAUCAUCCUUUCUCCCUCCACUCUAAGCCACCAGUAGUCACUCACCCUCCUACCACCCCUGGAGUGGCCCUUAGAUGGGAUCCUAUUCUGGACAUUACAUUCAUUCAUUCUGGACAUGUCAUAUGGAUGGAAUCAUACAGUGUAUGGUCCUGUGUGACGGGCUUCUUUCACUUCAAAUGUUUCAAGGUUCAUCUGUUGUGUGAACAAUUGGUGUUUAUGGCCUGAUGAUAUCCCAGUGCCUGGCUCUACCACGUUUUAUUUAUCCACUCCUGGAGUGGUGAGCAUUUGGGUUAUUUCCACUCUUUGGCUGUUACGAGUAAUGCUGCCACGAGCAUUUGUGGCCAGGUUUUAUGUAGAUCUAUUUUUGUUUCUCCCCAGCAUAUAGCUGGGAGUGGGUCACGGCUUAACUAUGUUUAAUUGUCUGAGAAAUUUUCCAACUUUUCCAAAGGGGCUGCACCACGGUGCACUCCCACCAGCACUGUAGGAGGGUUCAGACUCCACCCUCCUCACCGACACUUGUUGUUGCCUGACUUUUUGAUUCUAGCGAUGCUGGUGGGUGCGACCGGUUCUAUUUUCCUUUUAUAAAAAAGGAGGUGGAGACUCCCACACAGCUUAAAACUUCGAUCUCCUGCCAAGUGUUUUCCUGAUGCCCAUUCUUAUGUGACAACGGGUUUGGCAUCCUGUGCUGCCAUGUGGAGAUGGGCUAACGAGUGUGAACUGCCACGGGAUGUGCCAGGGCCACCGGCUGGAGGCUGGGCACAGCAG